UGGCCGUAAACGAUGUGGACUUGGUGUUGGAAUGGCUCCGAGCUGCUCCAGUGCCGAAGGGAAGCUGUUAAGUCCACCGCCUGGGAAGUACGGUCGCAAGACUGAAACUUAAAGGAAUUGGCGGGGGGAGCACCACAACGCGUGGAGCCUGCGGUUUAAUUUGGAUUCAACGCCGGACAUCUCACCAGGGGCGGACAGCAGAAUGAUGGCCAGGUUGAUGACCUUGCUUGACAAGCUGAGAGGAGGUGCAUGGCGUGUGACUGU
rnacentral:rRNA from 1 species